rnacentral:rRNA from 1 species
UACGUAGGGGGCAAGCGUUGUCCGGAUUUAUUGGGCGUAAAGAGCGUGUAGGCGGCCAGGUAGGUCCGUUGUGAAAACUCGAGGCUCAACCUCGAGACGCCGAUGGAAACCAUCUGGCUAGAGUCCGGAAGAGGAGAGUGGAAUUCCCGGUGUAGCGGUGAAAUGCGCAGAUAUCGGGAAGAACACCUAUGGCGAAGGCAGCUCUCUGGGACGGUACUGACGCUGAGACGCGAAAGCGUGGGGAGCGAACAGG